rnacentral:rRNA from 1 species
AAAUCAGUUAUCGUUUAUUUGAUAGUACCUUACUACUUGGAUAACCGUGGUAAUUCUAGAGCUAAUACAUGCUAAAAACCCCGACUUCGGAAGGGGUGUAUUUAUUAGAUAAAAAACCAAUGCUCUUCGGGGCUCCUUGGUGAUUCAUAAUAACUUAACGAAUCGCAUGGCCUUGUGCCGGCGAUGGUUCAUUCAAAUUUCUGCCCUAUCAACUUUCGAUGGUAGGAUAGUGGCCUACCAUGGUUUCAACGGGUAACGGGGAAUUAGGGUUCUAUUCCGGAGAGGGAGCCUGAGAAACGGCUACCACAUCCAAGGAAGGCAGCAGGCGCGCAAAUUACCCAAUCCCGACACGGGGAGGUAGUGACAAUAAAUACUGAUACAGGGCUCUUUUGAGUCUUGUAAUUGGAAUGAGUACAAUUUAAAUCCCUUAACGAGGAACAAUUGGAGGGCAAGUCUGGUGCCAGCAGCCGCGGUAAUUCCAGCUCCAAUAGCGUAUAUUAAAGUUGUUGCAGUUAAAAAGCUCGUAGUUGAACCUUGGGCCUGGCUGGCCGGUCCGCCUCACCGCGUGCACUGGUCCGGCCGGGCCUUUCCUCCUGGGGAGCCGCAUGCCCUUCACUGGGUGUGUCGGGGAACCAGGACUUUUACUUUGAAAAAAUUAGAGUGUUCAAAGCAGGCCUAUGCUCGAAUACAUUAGCAUGGAAUAAUAGAAUAGGACGUGUGGUUCUAUUUUGUUGGUUUCUAGGACCGCCGUAAUGAUUAAUAGGGAUAGUCGGGGGCAUCAGUAUUCAAUUGUCAGAGGUGAAAUUCUUGGAUUUAUUGAAGACUAACUACUGCGAAAGCAUUUGCCAAGGAUGUUUUCAUUAAUCAGUGAACGAAAGUUAGGGGAUCGAAGACGAUCAGAUACCGUCGUAGUCUUAACCAUAAACUAUGCCGACUAGGGAUCGGGCGAUGUUAUCUUUUUGACUCGCUCGGCACCUUACGAGAAAUCAAAGUUUUGGGUCUGGGGGGGAGUAUGGUCGCAAGGCUGAAACUAAGAAUGACGG